UACGUAGGGUGCAAGCGUUAAUCGGAAUUACUGGGCGUAAAGGGUGCGUAGGCGGUUUGCUAAGACAGGUGUGAAAUCCCCGGGCUUAACCUGGGAAUGGCGCUUGUUACUGGCAGGCUAGAGUGUGUCAGAGGGAGGUAGAAUUCCACGUGUAGCAGUGAAAUGCGUAGAGAUGUGGAGGAAUACCGAUGGCGAAGGCAGCCUCCUGGGAUAACACUGACGCUGAGGCACGAAAGCGUGGGGAGCAAACAGG
rnacentral:rRNA from 1 species